rnacentral:rRNA from 1 species
CAAGUCGAACGGGCGUAGCAAUACGUCAGUGGCGGACGGGUGAGUAACACGUGGGAAUAUGCCUUUCGGUUCGGAACAACUCGGGGAAACCCGUGCUAAUUCCGGAUACGCCCUUACGGGGAAAGAUUUAUCGCCGAAAGAUUAGCCCGCGUCCGAUUAGCUAGUUGGUGAGGUAAAGGCUCACCAAGGCACCGAUCGGUAGCUGGUUUGAGAGAACGACCAGCCACACUGGGACUGAGACACGGCCCAGACUCCUACGGGAGGCAGCAGUGGGGAAUCUUGGACAAUGGGCGCAAGCCUGAUCCAGCCAUGCCGCGUGAGUGAUGAAGGCCUUCGGGUUGUAAAACUCUUUUGGCGGGGACGAUAAUGACGGUACCCGCAGAAUAAGCUCCGGCUAACUUCGUGCCAGCAGCCGCGGUAAUACGAAGGGGGCUAGCGUUGUUCGGAAUUACUGGGCGUAAAGCGUGCGCAGGCGGCUUCUCAAGUCGGGGGUGAAAGCCCAGAGCUCAACUCUGGAAUUGCCUUUGAGACUGAGUGGCUUGAGUACGAGAGAGGUGAGUGGAAUUCCCAGUGUAGAGGUGAAAUUCNUANAUAUUGGGAAGAACACCGGUGGCGAAGGCGGCUCACUGGCUCGUAACUGACGCUCAUGCACGACAGCGUGGGGAUCAAACAGGAUUAGAUACCCUGGUAGUCCACGCCGUAAACUAUGAACGCUAGCCGUUGGGUAGCUUGCUAUUCAGUGGCGCAGCUAACGCAUUAAGCGUUCCGCCUGGGGAGUACGGCCGCAAGGUUGAAACUCAAAGAAAUUGACGGGGGCCCGCACAAGCGGUGGAGCAUGUGGUUUAUU